ensembl:ncRNA F46C8.19 ncRNA
CUUCAUUUCAUCUGUUUCCUCAUCCCGCAACAAAUCUCUGUAAGCAUCAAAUAGUCAACGAGUACUUGUUGUAGAACCGGCAUCAUCCUUCGGUGCGCUGCUAGGCCUUCAAUAUAAUUGCGCACACAAACACACACACAUACUCCCCCACACAAGUCACUCUCAUUCUCUCAUUCCCUCGACAUCCAAGAGUUUUUUCAUCGCACCUCAAUGACGGCUGGAAGCAGAAGCCAAUGAGUGAGUGAGGCAAGAAAAAGAAGAUGAAGCAGAAGAAGAAGAAGCGGGGGAGAAGGUGGUGGUGGCCAAAAACGGAGGGACGCUCGGACUUAAUUUUCAAACAACCUGGCGGCGAAGAAAACGACAUUUUCCAGAUUGCACGACCCAUUCACAAUUGUUCUAAUUUUGCGUCAUGUAUUUAUCGUCCCGUCGUUG